CCCUAUCCGAUGUGGGCGCAAGUGACUUGAACGGAUCUGUCCUCAGUACGAGAGGACCGGGAUGGACGGACCUCCGGUGUAUCGGUUGUCGUGCCAACGGCAGGUGCCGAGUAGCUAUGUCCGGAACGGAUAACCGCUGAAAGCAUCUAAGUGGGAAGCCGGCCGUAAGAUUAGGUCACUCACGGAAUUAAUCCGGUAAGGUCCCCGAUAGACUAUCGGGUUGAUAGGUAGCAGGUGUAAGUGCAGUAAUGUAUUGUAGCUGAGCUAUACUAAUAGACCGAGGGCUUGACCAU
rnacentral:rRNA from 1 species